rnacentral:lncRNA from 1 species
GCCUUUUUACCACAGGCAACAGGAUAGAAAAGAAUCAUAGUCUAAGAGAAAGACUCAGACCAGAAAGCUGCAUUUUUACAGAAUGAGCAUUAAAGACAGCUUAAUACAAGUGACAACAGAAAACAGUAACUUUCAUCAAAUUGCUUUUGCAUCUGGCGCCUGUCUUCUACGUUGCCAAAUAUAUGCACUCCUGCAUGAUGGUUCUUCUAUAGCACAUCUAAGACUAAAGGAACUGAAGUUUUCUGAGGAAGAUCAUUCAACCUCCUUCCAAAGUCAACACCAAGAGAAAAAAGGAUGUCAUCACUGACAGAUCACUGAACCUCACAGCAGUCUGUUUUCUUGCUUUUUAUAACCUGCUCAAAGUAACAUGGGCCUCCCACUGUUUUAGGAUUACAGAGUGAAUAAGAGAAUAUGAAGUGAUCACUGACAGCUCCAAGCAGUACAAACACAAAACAUACAAAGAUUUACAUCAAGAAAGGAAGAAGUACUUCUAAGCUGAAAUAAAAGCAAAAACUGACCAAUGUUAUCCAGAGGUGUUGGCUGAUGUGGAAUUUCUGAGAUGAUUUCUUUAGUUAAUAUAUGAAUAAACCCCAGGUGAAAGGCUAUUAAUUAGCAGUCUUGUUUUCACUUGCUUGGAAAAAC